AAUCGCAUGAUCAGCUUUUAAAAAGGCGGCGUAAAGCUGUCGCUAUGGGAUGGCCCCGCGGUGCAUUAGCUAGUUGGUAAGGUAAAGGCUUACCAAGGCGAUGAUGCAUAGCCGAGUUGAGAGACUGAUCGGCCACAUUGGGACUGAGACACGGCCCAAACUCCUACGAGAGGCAGCAGUAGGGAGUCUUCCACAAUGGACGCAAGUCUGAUGGAGCAACGCCGCGUGAGUGAAGAAGGUUUUCGGAUCGUAAAGCUCUGUUGUUGGUGAAGAAGGAUAGAGGUAGUAACUGGCCUUUAUUUGACGGUAAUCAACCAGAAAGUCACGGCUAACUACGUGCCAGCAGCCGCGGUAAAU
rnacentral:rRNA from 1 species